rnacentral:rRNA from 1 species
GGACUACAAGGGUAUCUAAUCCUGUUUGCUCCCCACGCUUUCGUGUCUCAGCGUCAGUACUCGUCCAGUUGGCCGCCUUCGCCACCGGUGUUCCUCUCGAUAUCUACGAAUUUCACCUCUACACCGAGAAUUCCACCAACCUCUCCGGUACUCAAGCCGUCGCAGUAUCGGGUGCACUUCCUGGGUUGAGCCCAGGGCUUUCACAUCCGACUUGCGUGGCCGCCUACACACGCUUUACGCCCAGUAAUUCCGAGCAACGUUCGCACCCUCUGUCUUACCGCGGCGGCUGGCAC